GAUGUGCCCUCUGCAGGGGAGAGAGUGUCACAUGAGUUCUCUCAGCCAACCACACUUAUCCCAGCCCAAGUGCCAGUGUGGACAUUGACCAGCCUGCAGCCACGGCCUCGGAGGCACUUCCGCUGGUGAGAGGGGCACUCCGGGUGCCACAUCAGGGCCCCACCAGGUUAUAGCCCUGCUCAUGGAUUCAGAAUGGUCUUUUCUUUGGCAUCCCUCCUUUGGCCAGUCACCAUCUCUACUGCUCACUUACCAGCCAUACUGUGUGAACCUGCAGGAAGAGAGAAUGGAGGUGACCCCAACGUGUGGCUAACCUUACCAUCAGCCCAGGCACAAAUCAGAACGCUUCUUGGUCUCAAGGCAGCUUCUGUGAACCACAGGAGCAGCUUAGUUGGGCUUUCUCUGUUCUUUCUGUGUCGGCUCAGUAGAUGGGUUUGAAUUACAUAUGAGGCUUGUGAAUACAAAACAUUAAAGUGGCCUCAGCUGCUUUGACUUGACCUCCAGGCAACUGUCACAGGCAUCAAGAACGAAGCCUCCAAGGAAGGCCACAGCUUGACCACCCCUCUCCACCCCGGCCCCUUUUCUCCUCCCCCUUCUUCUUCAGUGCUGGGGAAUCAAAUCCAGGGCCUCACCCUUGCUAGGCAAGCGCUCUAUCACUGAGCUACAGCCCCCAGCCCCACUUUUCUUAACACUGAAUUUUAAAUGGGCCAGGCAUCUGGGAAGCUCUGUCAGAUGCUUCUUUUUCUCUCUUCCACUCUCCUCUGGUCAUUUAUUAAAAGGAGCACUCCUCUUGCUGGACACUUGCUCGUUUUUCAUUUAACAAAGACUGGGGAGAGCCCUCAUGGAACUUUUCACGGCCUACUGAGGUCUUGAACUCUAACAUGGCUUGAUGCACACUUUGGGAGUCAGCUGGCUCCUUGUUCUGUGGACUGACCGCUCAGUGUUUGGACUACACAGGAAGAGUGUUUCAGAAGCAAGUGUAAUGGGGAAGGUGCUCUACUUCCUGCCUGGGAGGUGAGGGAGGCUGGGAUGGAGGCUUGGAGGUGCAGAUGAAUCCUAUCACCUACAGCAACACCCAUGGGGAGAUGAGGGCUGGAGGCAGUGAUACCAACUCGUCACUCAUUUGCUGAAAGCACCACUAGCUGGCACUUCCUGCUCACGAGCUCAGGGGCUACAGGGACCAGCCCCAGCCCAGUGCCCCCAGUGCCCCCGUUCUUCUCCAGUCAACCUUGCCCAGCACCAAACAGUGUCCUCACACCACUCCAUUUCACAUGCUUCUGUACACAAAGUCCCGGCCGGCAAACCACAUUUAUGACCCACUUGCUGGGAGCUGUGAUGUUUUUAAGAGCCAUUGGCUUGCAUUUUAGUAGCAUGUUAUCUCUUCCUCUCUCUGCAUUUGUCUCCACUUUCGUUAAGUAAAAGUCAAUAGCGUACAAACAUUCCCCUUUCAGACUUUGUCUGGUCUAACCCAGAGAGAAAAACAACCUUGCAGACCCCACCCUCAUCCAGGCUGCACCCGACCCAACUGUGUUCCCAGCAGAAGUUUGCACAUUGCGAUUUCUCCAUUACACUACAUCCAGAUGACUCUUCUGGUGCAGCCCAACCACUGGGGAUCAGACCGGAGAGCCCUAACUGUGAUUUCCAACAUGAUGUGAAAAGAUGGUUGUGGCCACAUAAGCCUGAAGGGAGCUGCAGGGGUUGUCUGAGCACAUCUGGCUGCUUGGGGACCCAGAUGUAGCAAGGCCACCGUCCACGAUGGGCUUAAUUUCCUCCCCUCUAUGGUGCAGUGUCAUCACAAGGGUCCUUAAAUGUGGAAGAUGGAGGCAGAAGAGUGAUGUGAUGUGAG
ensembl:lncRNA